rnacentral:lncRNA from 1 species
GUUCAACAGACAUUUAAAAAGGACAUCAGAAAACGAAGACAAGACCCUUUUGAUUUUAUUCGGGAAUAUGAUUCAAUACCUACUGUUGGGGCAGAUUUUGGUCUUUUGGACUUUGUCAAACCCACUGUUCCAUGUGGAGAAUUUGAAGAAACCCCUAAAACUACCCAAAGAACACUUUCAUCAAGUAAAACGUACACACCUGUUAUGACGACUGCUGGAGCAACAACCUUACCUGAAACCAUGCCUUAUUUAACAUCUGCUGCUGGAACCACAAUAGCUCUGAAAACUACUUCUACUGAAACUACUUUUCCAGACAUCACGUCCAUAGAAACUACUUCUCCGAGAACUAAUACUGCUGAAAUAAUGCCCUCCAUUAGUUCAACAGUAAAUAUUUUAGGAGCAUCCACAAAUGUAAUGACAAUCUCAUCUGAGCCAACACCUGCCGUAAUGUUUGCGGUUGAAACCGCAAUGGCUAAAACUACCACAGAGACUAAUACCCUUGCCACAACUGCUGAAGAAACUACUAACCUUGGCAUCACUUCUGAAGAAACUACUACCACUUCUGUAGAAAGCACAACCCUUGGCACAACUUCUGCAGAAAGCACAACCCUUGGCAUCACUUCUGCAGAAACUACUACCACUUCUGUAGAAAGCACAACCCUGGGCACGACUUCUGCAGAACCUACUACCCUUGGAAUCACUUCUGCAGAAACUACUACCCUGGGCACGACUUCUGCAGACACUACUACCACUUCUGUAGAAAGCACAACCCUGGGCACGAUUUCUGCAGAAACAACUACCCUUGGCAUCACUUCUGCAGCAAGUACCUCACUUGGCACCUCUUCUGUAGAAAGUACAAUCCUGGGCAUGACUUCUGCAGAAACUACUACACUUGGCAUCAUUUCUGCAAAAACUACUACCACUUCUGUAGAAAGCACAACCCUGGGCACGACUUCUGCAGAAAGAGCAACCCUGGAAACCACUGAUGUGGAAACUACUACCCUUGGCACCCCUUCUGUAGAAAGCACAACCCUUGGUGCCACUGUUGCAGAAAAAACAUCCUCUGCUAGUUCAACAGGAAUAUUGGAAACAUCCACACUUGUAAAAACAACUGCUGGAACAACAGCAACUACGUCUGCCUCAACAUCUCCAGUUGAAACCACAAUAGCUCAAACUACCACUCCUGCAGAAACCACUACCUUUGACACCACUUCUGCAGCAAGUACCUUACUUGACACCACUUCUGUAGAAAAAACAUUCUCUGCAAGUUCAACAGGAAUCUUCGAAACAUCCUGGCUUGUAACAACUGCUGGAACAACAGCAACUACGUCUGCCUCAACAUCUCCAGUUGAAACCACAAUAGCUCAAACUACCACUCCUGCAGAAACCACUACCUUUGACACCACUUCUGCAGCAAGUACCUUACUUGACACCACUUCUGUAGAAAAAACAUUCUCUGCAAGUUCAACAGGAAUCUUCGAAACAUCCUGGCUUGUAACAACUGCUGGAACAACAGCAGCUACGCCUGGCUCAACAUCUGCAGUCAAAACCACAAUGGCUCAAACUACACCUUUUUCAGAAUUUACUGCACUUGGCUCCACUUCUGUUGAAAGUACUAUCCUGGGCACCACUUCUGCAGAAACGACAUUCUCUGUAAGUUCAACAGGAAUAUUGGUUACAUCUACACCAGUAUUGACGUCUGCUGGAACAACUUCAUUUACAACUACACCUGGCUUAACAUCUGUUAUUGGAGCCACAAUGGCUCAAACUACUACUUCUGCAGAAAUUACUACACUUGGAACCACAUCUAUAGAAGGUACUACCCUUGGCACCACUUCAGUUCAAAUUACAUCCUCGGUUAGCUCAACAGGGAUGGUGUUGGAUACAGCCACACCAGUUACAACAACUGCUGGAAAAACAACCUCAGCUAUAAUUAGACCCGAAUUAACGUCUGUUUUUGAAGCUACAAUGGCUCAAAUUGCCACUUCUGCAGAAAUGACUACACUUGGCACGCCUUAUAUAGAAAGUGCUAGCUUAAGGACCACUUCUACAGAAAUGGAAAUCUCUGCAAGUUCAACAGAAUUAUCGGAAACAUCCAUGCUUGAAAUGACAACAGCCAGAACAACAACAACCUCAACUGUAACUAUGCCUGCCUUAUCAUCUGCUGUUGAAACAACAGUGGCUCAGCGUACCACCUCUGCAGAAAUUACUGCACUUGGUGCCACUUCUAUACAAUGUACAGCCCUAGGCACCACUUCUGCAGAAAUUACUACCCUUGGAAUCACAUCUGUGGAAAGUACUACACUUGGCAGUACUUCUGUAGAUAUUAGUACUCUGGGCACCUCUUCUGCAAAAACUCCCUCACUUGGCACCACUUCUGUAGAAAGUACAACCCUGAGCACAAUCUCUGCAGAAACUACUACUUUUGGCAUCCCUUCUAUAGAAAGCACAAACCUGGGCACCACUUCUGCAGAAACAACAUCCUCUGUAAGUUCAACUGGAAUCUUGUUAACAUCCAUGCUUGUAAUGACAACUGCUGGAACAACAAGCAUGACUACGCCUGCCUUAACAUCUGCUGUUGAAACCACAGUGGCUCAAACUGCCUCUUUUACAGAAAUUACAACACUUGGCUCCACUUCUACAGAAACUACUACCCUUGGCACCACUUCUGUAGAAAGUACAACCCUGGGUACCACUUCUGCAGAAACAACAUCCUCUGUAAGUUCAACAGGAAUCUUGGAAACAUCCACGCUUGUAAUGACAACUGCUGGAACAACAGCAACUAUGCCUUCCUCAACAUCUGCAGUUGAAACCACAAUGGCUCAAACUGCCUCUUUUACAGAAAUUACAACACUUGGCUCCACUUCUACAGAAACUACUACCCUUGGCACCACUUCUGUAGAAAGUACAACCCUGGGUACCACUUCUGCAGAAACAACAUCCUCUGUAAGUUCAACAGGAAUCUUGGAAACAUCCACGCUUGUAAUGACAACUGCUGGAACAACAGCAACUAUGCCUUCCUCAACAUCUGCAGUUGAAACCACAAUGGCUCAAACUGCCUCUUUUACAGAAAUUACAACACUUGGCUCCACUUCUACAGAAACUACUACCCUUGGCACCACUUCUGUAGAAAGUACAACCCUGGGUACCACUUCUGCAGAAACAACAUCCUCUGUAAGUUCAACAGGAAUCUUGGAAACAUCCACACCAGUAAUGACAACUGCUGCAACACCAAACUCAAUCAUAACCACGCCUGCCUUAACAUCUGCAGUUGAAUCCACAAUGGCUCAAACUACCACUUUUGCAGGAAUUACUACACUUGGAAACACAUCUGUAGAAAUUACUGCACUUGACAGCACUUCUGUGGAAAGUACAACCCUGGGCACCACUUUUGCAGAAACUACUAUCCUUGGCUCCUUUGCUGCAGAAACUGCUACCCAUGGCACCAUUUUUGUAGAAAGUACCACUAUUGCCACAACUUCUGCUGAAAUUACACCCUCAGUUAGUUUAACAGGAGUACUGUUGGAAACAUCCACAAUAGUACCGUCAACUGCUGGAACAACAAAGUUGUACUUUGAUCCAAAAAUUACUAAACUUGGCAGCACUUCUGUAGAAACUACUGCCAUCGACACCCCUUCUGUAGAAGGUACUACCUUAAAAACCUCCUCCAUAAAAACUACAUCCUCUGUAAAUUCAACAGGAAUAUUGGUUACAUCUACACCAGUAUUGACGUCUGCUGGAACAACUUCAGUUACUACUACACCUGGCUUAACAUCUGUUAUUGGAACCACAAUGGCUCAAACUACUACUUCUGCAGAAAUUACUACACUUGGAACCACAUCUAUAGAAAGUACUAUGCUGGGCACCAUUUCUGCUGGAAGUACACCCUCAGUUCGCUCAACAGGAAGAAUAUUGGAAAUAUCCACACCAGUAAUGACAACUGCUGGAGCAACAACCUCAUCUGUAGCUAUACCUGCCUUAACAGCUCCUGCUGAAACCACAAAAGGUCAAUCUACCAUUUCUGCAGAAAUUGCUACAAAUGGAACCAUGUCUGUAAAAAUUACAGCACUUGGCACCACUUCUGUAGACAGUACAACCUUGGACACCACUUCUGCCAAAACCAGUACCCUUGACACCACUUCUGUGGACAUUGCUACACUUGGCACCACUAUUGUAGAAAGUACAACCCUGAGCACUACUUCUGCUGAAACAACAUCCUCUGUAAGUUCAACAGGAACAUUUGGGACUACUACACUUGCCACUACUUCUAUAGAAAGUACUACCCUUGGCACCACUUCAGUUCAAAUUACAUCCUCGGUUAGCUCAACAGGGAUGGUGUUGGAUACAUCCACACCAGUUACAACAACUGCUGGAGCAACAACCUCAGCUAUAAUUAGACCCGAAUUAACAUCUGUUUUUGAAACGGCAAUGGCUCAAAUUGCCACUUCUGCAGAAAUGACUACACUUGGCACCCCUUAUAUAGAAAGUACUAGCUUAAGGACCACUUCUACAGAAACGGAAAUCUCUGCAAGUUCAAAAGAAUUAUUGGAAACAUCCACGCUUGAAAUGACAACGGCUGGAACAACAACAACCUCAUCUGUAACUAUGCCUGCCUUAUCAUCUGCUGUUGAAACCACAAUGGCUCAAACUGCCUCUUUUACAGAAAUUACAACACUUGGUGCCACUUCUAUACAAUGUACAGCCCUAGGCACCACUUCUGCAGAAAUUACUACCCUUGGAAUCACAUCUGUGGAAAGUACUACACUUGGCACCACUUCUGUAGAAAGUACAACCCUGAGCACAAUCUCUGCAGAAACUACUACUUUUGGCAUCACUUCUAUAGAAAGCACAACCCUGGGCACCACUUCUGCAGAAACAACAUCCUCUGUAAGUUCAACUGGAAUCUUGUUAACAUCCAUGCUUGUAAUGACAACUGCUGGAACAACAAGCAUGACUACGCCUGCCUUAACAUCUGCUGUUGAAACCACAGUGGCUCAAACUACCACUUCUGCAGAAAUUACUGCACUUGGCACCACUUCUGUAGAAAGUACAACCCUGGGCACCACUUCUGCAGAAACAAUAUCCUCUGUAAGUUCAACAGAAUUAUUGGAAACAUCCACGCUUGGAAUGACAAUGGCCGGAACAACAACCUCAACUAUAACUAUGCCUGCCUUAACGUCUGCUGUUGAAACAACAGUGGCUCAGUGUACCACCUCUGCAGAAAUUACUACACUUGGUGCCACUUCUAUAGAAUGUACAGCCCUAGGCACCAUUUCUGCAGAAAUUACUACCCUUGGCAUCACUGAAACUACCUCAGUUCAUUCAACAGAAAUAGUAUUGGAAUCAUCCACACCAUUAAUGACAACUACUGGAACACCAACCUCAACCAUAACUAUGCCUGCCUUGACAUCUGCUGAUGAAACCACAAUGGCUCAAACUACUACUUCUGCAGAAAGUACUACCCUUGAACCCACACCUGUAGAAGGUACUGCACUUGGCAGCACUUCUGUAGAAACUGCUACUUUUGGUACCUCUUCUGCAGGAACUACCUCACUUGGAACCACUUCUGCAGAAAGCACAACCCUGGGCACCUCUUCUGCUGAAACAACAUCCUCUGUAAGUUCAACGGGAAUCUUGAAAACAUCGCUUGUAACAACUGCUGGAACAACAGCAGCUACGCCUGGCUCAACAUCUGCAGUCAAAACCACAAUGGCUCAAACUACACCUUUUUCAGAAAUUACUGCACUUGGCUCCACUUCUGUUGAAAGAACUAUCCUGGGCACCACUUCUGCAGAAACUACUACCCUUGGCACUACUACUGUAGAAAGUACAACCCUGUGCACCACUUCUGCAGAAACAACAUCCUCUGUAAGUUCAACAGAAUUAUUGGAAACAUCCAUGCUUGGAAUGACAAUGGCCGGAACGACAACAACAACCUCAACUGUAACUAUGCCUGCCUUAUCAUCUGCUGUUGAAACAACAGUGGCUCAGUGUACCACCUCUGCAGAAAUUACUACACUUGGUGCCACUUCUAUACAAUGUACAGCCCUAGGCACCAUUUCUGCAGAAAUUACUACUCUUGGCAUCACUGAAACUACCUCAGUUCGUUCAACAGAAAUAGUAUUGGAAACAUCCACACCAUUAAGGACAAAUACUGGAACACCAACCUCAACCAUAACUACGCCUUCCUUGACAUUUGCUGUUGAAACCACAAUGGCUCAAACUACCACUUCUGCAGAAAGUACUACCCUUGAACCCACACCUGUAGAAGGUACUGCACUUGGCAGCACUUCUGUAGAAACUGCUACUUUUGGUACCUCUUCUGCAGGAACUACCUCACUUGGGACCACUUCUGCAGAAAGCACAACCCUGGGCACCACUUCUGCUGAAACAACAUCCUCUGUAAGUUCAACAGGAAUAUUGGAAACAUCCAUGCUUGUACUGACAACUGCAGGAACAACAACCUCAGCUAUAACUAUACCUGGAUUAACAUCUGUUGUUGAAAUGAUGAUUACUCAAACUACCACUUCUGCAGAAAUUACUACUCUUGACACCAGUUUUGCAAUAACUGCACCCUCAGUUAAUUCAGCAGGAAUAGUAUUGGAAACCACACCAGUAAAAACAACUGCUGGAACAACAACCUCAACUAUAACUACACCUGCCUUAACAUCAGUUGUUGAAACCACAAUGGCUCAAACUACCACUUCUGCAGAAAGUACUAAAUUUGGUACCAUUUCUGGAGAAACCGCACCCUUAGUUAGUUCAAAGGCAAUAGUAUUGGCAACAUCCCCACCAGUAAUGACAACUACUGGAAAAACAACCUCAGCUAUAACUUUGCCUUGCUUAACAUCUGUUGAUGAAACCACAGUGACCAAAACUACCACUUCUACAGAAAGUACUACCUUGGGCACUACUUUUCCAAAAACUACUACUCUUGGCACCACUAUAACUACACCUGCCUUAACAUCUGUUGUUGAAGCCACAAUGGCUCAAACUACCAUUAGGCACCACUACUGCAGAAACUACAACACUUGGCACCAAUUCUGCAAAAAAAAACACCACCGUUGGUCCCACUUUUGUAGAAGGUACUUCCCUGGGUACCACUUGUGCACUACCCUUAGUACUACAUCUGUAGAAGGUACUAACUUGGCCACUACUUCUCCAGAAACUACACUUGGAACCACUUCUGCAUUAACUAUAAUGCUUGAUAGCACUUUUGCUGAAACAACACCCUCAAUUAGUUCAGCAGGAACUACAGCUGUAGGCACACCUGUCUUAACGCCUGCCGUUGAAACCACAAUGGCUCAAACUACCAUUAGGCACCACUACUGUAGAAACUACUACCUUUGGCACCACUUUUGUAAAAAAAACCACCGUUGGUCCCACUUUUGUAGAAGGUACUUCCCUGGGUACCACUUGUGCACCACCCUUAGUACUACAUCUGUAGAAGGUACUAACUUGGGCACUACUUCUCCAGAAACUACACUUGGAACCACUUCUGCAUUAACUAUAAUGCUUGAUAGCACUUUGCUGAAACAACACCCUCAAUUAGUUCAGCAGGAACUACAGCUAUAG